rnacentral:rRNA from 1 species
GAUGAACGCUGGCGGCGUGCCUAAUACAUGCAAGUCGAGCGAACAGAUGAUGAGCUUGCUCCUCUGAUGUUAGCGGCGGACGGGUGAGUAACACGUGGAUAACCUACCUAUAAGACUGGGAUAACUUCGGGAAACCGGAGCUAAUACCGGAUAAUAUAUUGCACCGCAUUGUUCAAUAGUGAAAGUCGGUUUUGCUGUCACUUAUAGAUGGAUCCGCGCCGCAUUAUCUAGUUGGUAAGGUAACGGCUUACCAAGGCAACGAUGCGUAGCCGACCUGAGAGGGGGAUAGGCCACACUGGAACUGAGACACGGUCAAGACUACUACGGGAGGCAGCAGUAGGGAAUCUUCCGCAAUGGGCGAAAGCCUGACGGAGCAACGCCGCGUGAGUGAUGAAGGUCUUCGGAUCGUAAAACUCUGUUAUUAGGGAAGAACAAAUGUGUAAGUAACUAUGCACGUCUUGACGGUACCUAAUCAGAAAGCCACGGCUAACUACGUG